rnacentral:rRNA from 1 species
UACGAAGGGGGCUAGCGUUGCUCGGAAUCACUGGGCGUAAAGCGCACGUAGGCGGAUUGCUAAGUCAGGGGUGAAAUCCUGGAGCUCAACUCCAGAACUGCCUUUUGAUACUGGCGAUCUUGAGUCCGGGAGAGGUGAGUGGAACUGCGAGUGUAGAGGUGAAAUUCGUAGAUAUUCGCAAGAACACCAGUGGCGAAGGCGGCUCACUGGCCCGGUACUGACGCUGAGGUGCGAAAGCAUGGGGAGCGAACAGG